rnacentral:sRNA from 1 species
CGGUAGAGGUAACACUCUCACGCGCCACAUGCCUGAAUCCUUUUUUUACGAGCACCUUUCGUUCUCCUUCGGUGGGGUAACCUGCCGUUUGGAACUUAUCAAAACCCUUUUUUGCAUCUAGCAUUACCUGUUCAGAUACAAACAAUCGUUACAACUUUCAACAAUGGAUCUCUUGGCUCUGGCAUCGAUGAAGAACGCAGCGAAAUGCGAUAAGUAGUGUGAAUUGCAGAAUUCAGUGAAUCAUCGAAUCUUUGAACGCACAUUGCGCCCCUUGGUAUUCCAUGGGGCAUGCCUGUUCGAGCGUCAUCUACACCCUCAAGCUCUGCUUGGUGUUGGGCGUCUGUCCCGCCUCCGCGCGCGGACUCGCCCCAAAUGCAUUGGCAGCGGUCUUUGCCUCCUCUCGCGCAGCACAUUGCGCUUCAGAGGGGCGUGGGCCGCGUCCACGAAGCAACACGGCGAGUGAAGCGGCAACAGCUCAAAUUUGAAAUCNGGCUCUCUUUGGGGGUCCGAGUUGUAAUUUGCAGAGGAUGCUUUGGCAUUGGCGGCGGUCUAAGUUCCUUGGAACAGGACAUCGCAGAGGGUGAGAAUCCCGUACGUGGGCGCCUGCCUUUGCCGUGUAAAGCUCCUUCGACGAGUCGAGUUGUUUGGGAAUGCAGCUCUAAAUGGGAGGUAAAUUUCUUCUAAAGCUAAAUACCGGCCAGAGACCGAUAGCGCACAAGUAGAGUGAUCGAAAGAUGAAAAGUACUUUGGAAAGAGAGUCAAAAAGCACGUGAAAUUGUUGAAAGGGAAGCGCUUGCAGCCAGACUUGCCCGCAGUUGCUCACCUAGGCUUUGGCCUGGGGCACUCUUCUGCGGGCAGGCCAGCAUCAGUUUGGGCGGUCGGACAAAGGCCUCUGUCAAGUAUCUCCCUUCGGGGUGACCUUAUAGGGGAGGCGUAAUGCGACCAGCCCGGACUGAGGUCCGCGCAUCUGCUAGGAUGCUGGCGUAAUGGCUGUAAGCGGCCCGUCUUGAAACACGGACCAAGGAGUCUAACAUCUAUGCGAGUGUUUGGGUGUCAAGCCCGGGCGCGCAAUGAAAGUGAACGGAGGUGGGAACCCUUUGGGUGCACCAUCGACCGAUCCUGAUGUCUUCGGAUGGAUUUGAGUAAGAGCAUA